rnacentral:rRNA from 1 species
AUGGGGUUGUUGUCGUCCGCCGUGAGGAAAUGUAACAGCAAGAUGCUCCUCGGCGGCGGCUCUUCAUCUCCGUGUGGUGUGCGCGGCAAGGAACAACCAUUGACGCCCAGCAAGCACAAGCGGUCGAGGAAGAAGCGCUUCUGGAGGAAGAAGAAGUCCAGCAAGAAGUUCGGCUGCGUCCCCUGCGUCAGCCUCACCGAGCUCACCAGGCGCGCCGAGUGCGAGGCCAUCGCCGACCUCGUCAACAACAUCUCGGCCAAGUCAGACGUUACCAGCCACAUGUACGCGGCCGAGGAGAUCCUGCGGAUCACCAACCAUAACAUCCCCAGUAGAGUGCUCACCUUCCGUGAGUUGUCCGCGGCGACCAACAACUUCAGCUGCGAUAACCUUGUGGGCGAGGGCGGCUUCGGGAUGGUGUACAAGGGGCACUUCAAGGACACCAAGGAGGAUAUCGCCGUGAAGCGGCUCGACAAGGAAGGGUUCCAGGGGAACCGCGAGUUCCUGGUGGAGGUGCUGAUGCUGAGCCUCCUGAGCCACCCCAACCUCGUGAAUCUGAUCGGCUACAGCACCGACCUCGACCAGCGGAUCCUCGUCUACGAGUACAUGCCCAACGGCUCGCUGGAGGAUCAUCUCCUAGAUCUCCCGGAGAACGCCAAGGCGCUCCCCUGGCAGACGCGGAUGAGGAUCGCGGUGGGCGCGGCCAAGGGCAUCGAGUACCUGCACGAGGUGGCCAACCCGCCGGUCAUCUACCGGGACCUCAAGGCCUCCAACAUCCUCCUGGACAAGGACUUCAACUCCAAGCUCUCCGACUUCGGGCUCGCCAAGCUCGGCCCCCUCGGCGACGAGAGCCACGUCAGCACCAGGGUGAUGGGCACCUACGGCUACUGCGCCCCCGAGUACGCCAUGACCGGCAAGCUCACCAAGAUGUCCGACAUCUACAGCUUCGGCGUCGUGCUGCUCGAGCUCAUCACCGGCAGGCGGGCCAUCGACCCCACCAAGCCCACGGAGGAGCAGGUUCUCAUCCACUGGGCGGCGCCUCUGAUCAGGGACAGGAAAAUGUUCGUGAGGCUGGCGGAUCCGUUGCUGGGGAAGGACUUCCCGGUGAAGGGGCUGUACCAGGCGCUCGCCAUCGCCUCCAUGUGCAUGCAGGAGGAUCCCAGCAAGAGGCCCAAGAUCGGCGACGUCGUGGACGCGCUCACCUUCCUCGCUGAACAGAAGUACUAUCCUCAACGAGACCGGGAAGCUGCUCAGGCGAAGGGCGGGGACUGCAGCACUCCUCGCAAAAAGGACAUGGUUUCUGAGAUCAAAGCCGAUGAUGACAUGAAGCAGCGAUGA